rnacentral:lncRNA from 1 species
AUGCAGUCAGAGGUUGAACCUACCCUAACCGAGGGCUCGGGGAAGCCUCCGACAAAGUUCUGCGCGUGCGGGAACAAAAUGUCGGGAGCGGAUAGCCACACCGCCUGCAUUCGCUGCCUUGGGCUGGAACAUGCCAAGGCUGCCCUUGCAUUCCCGCCUACCUGCGAGCAUUGCGCACGGUUUACAAAUAAAACCCGCAAACGCCGGCUGACUAAGCAGGCGAAGCUCAGCACAGAUGAUCCGGUAAUGGGGGUAACCGACCCGCCACUACCGGAGCUAGCGGGAGGUUCCCGGGGGCUCUCCGCCCCACUGGGAACCAGCUGGGGAUCGGAGGUGGACCUCACCGACGCUUCCCAGCCGCUGGAGUUGACUCAGCCCGACGCUUUCGAGGCUAGCCUGCUGGAAGGGCCCGACAAAGCCGAGGGCGAUCACUCCGAGUCGUGGGGGGAAUCCAUUAGCCUCGGCUCUGACGAGGACGAGGAUGAUGAUUCCUUUUCCCCCCGCACCGCGUCGCCUAUGGUGGUGGGCGGUGCGUGCACCCCCUCCCCGAACCCGGCCGUGAGCAUGGACCUACACGAGGCCUGCAAGAGGGCGGCUGCGCGGCUAAACAUCGAGUGGCCGGAGGCCCCGGUGGAGACCGCCACAUCUCGCUACGAGGGCAAGCGACUCCCGAAGGCGAAGGCUUCAACCAGCCUGCUACUUCCGGCCUUUCUCGAGUGCCUGGAGGAAGCGACCCGGUCUUGGGGCAAGCCUCUCUCAGCCAAGAUCCCCGUCCAGGGUGGAUCGGGGUUGGAUUGGGCCGGUAUGGAGAAAAAGGGGUUCUCCCAUCUUCCUCCGGUUGAACCACUGCUGGCGUCGCACCUCCACCCCACGCAGAAGUCCGCCAUGACUUCAGCGAGCCCUACACUGCCGUCCAGAGCCGACUCCUUCCAGUCAUCAAUGACCGAGAAGGGCUACAAGGCGAUGGCGACGACGGUGAAGGCGCUCAACGCGUCGUCGCUGCUGCUGGCCUACCAGGCUGAGCUCGAGCUCGACAUGUCCUCGUCACCCACCCCAGCCCUUUGGGAUGAACUGUGCGUGGUGACGGACCUGUGCCUGCGCCUUCACAGGAGCGCUGUCCAGGCGUCCGGAAGGGCCAUGGCGCUGAUGGUCGCUCAGGAGAGGGCGAGGUGGCUGAACCUCUCCAGUCUCUCUCUGAGGGAGAAAACCCAACUCCUAGACGUGCCUGUGGACCCGAAAGGCCUGUUUGGCCCGGCGUAUGAUGUCAUGCUGAAACGCUGGGAGGAAAAAAAGAGGGAGGGUGAGGCGCUGCGACUGUGUCUUCCCAGAAGAGCGCCUUUCCCCGCCAACGCACCCGGCUAG